rnacentral:lncRNA from 1 species
GGCCAGCGCCGCCUGGCGCCCUCCCGCGGCGGGGCGCAGCGCGCAGGCGCAGUGAGCGCCGCUGAGGAGACGGGCCGGCCCUGAGCGGAGCGGGGAUCCCUGUCCGCCCCGGGGCCGGCUCUGGUGCCGCCAGAGCGGUGUGGAAUGGGGAGGCGGCUUCGUAAAGCCAUUUAAACGCCUGGAGGGUCCCAGCCCCGUCCCAGCCCUUUCCACACACGGAACAGGGAUCGGUGACACUUUCAAUGGAUCCAUUGAGGGGAGUCCCCGGCUCCUGCGCCCCCCGGCCCCUCGCUCCCGCUGCUGCUGCUGCAGCUGGUAAGUGCAUUCCCUGUAAAUUAUUAAGGCUUGCCAUUAAACCAAAGUUUUCCCCUUAAAAUACACCCAAAAACCAUUUAAAGAUGUCCACAUCUUAGAAAGCCAGAAAAACAGAGUUCCCUGUAAUUUAUUCAGGUCCCCUGAAAGAAACACUGUCAAUGUCCUUGAGAAACGGAGAGGAGCCGCACCACCGACCAGAAAAUCAUAUGCCUUUUAUUUAACAGAAAAAUGAAACAUUAAGAUAAAAUACACGUUUGUCCAUGUGCUGAAGAACUACUGUAUUUUACAUUCAUUUAUAAAGCAGGUAGUUUUACACGGCAAAAAGAAGAGAGAGGGAGAGGGACAGACUCCGCAGUAAGACACGAGCCACGGGGCGGGCUCUGGUUGCCCAAGGGCUACCCUGGGGAGGGGAGGGAGCCAGCCUGGCUCAGCGCGCCCAGCCCCUGAGGCUGCCAGAGCCUCGGCUGGAACCUCACAGCAAAGGGGGGGAAAAACUUGGGAAAACAGCCUUUGCCAAAAUGCAGAGUGUGGCGCGAGGGCUGUCCCCAGUGUGACAGACACCUCUGCUGGGACGGGCCCGGCUGUCACCGCACAGAUGUCACCGCGCUGACCUACAGCUGCUGGUUUUCCACACACCCCUGCCCACGCUGCUGAUUUAACUUUGCCUUUGCCUCCGGGCUGUGCUGGGGCCACAGGAGAAGGUGCUAGAGAUGGGCUGUUUGGGGACACCUCCAGGCACCCGAUAAAACCCUGUGACUGACCCCUCCGUCCCCAAGACUCCAGGUGACACCCGGCCCGGCCACCCUGGGCCCAGAGGACUCCAAAAAUCCAACUCUUGGCCCAGUUUUCCCAACAGAAACCCCCCGGUGCAGGGACAGGAGGGUGACUGGUUUGUGCUGACUCGGGAGAGGGGGGGAUGCAGCAGAACCAGGGGAAUUAGGAAUGAGUGCAGGGACAGGAGGGCGACUGGUUUGUGCUGACUCGGGAGAGGGGAGGAUGCAGCA